UAAGGAAUAUUGGACAAUGGGCGCAAGCCUGAUCCAGCCAUGCCGCGUGCAGGAUGAAAGUGCUAUGCACUGUAAACUGCUUUUGUUUGGGAAAAAACCCCUGGUUUCUACCGGGGCUGAUUGUACCAAAAGAAUAAGGGACGGCUAACUUCGUG
rnacentral:rRNA from 1 species